GACGACGCUGGCGGCGUGCUUAACACAUGCAAGUCGAACGAGUGGCGAACGGGUGCGUAAUACGUGGGAAACUGCCCUCCUUUUUGGGAUAAGCCUUGGAAACGGGGUCUAAUACCGAAUAAAGGGGGAUGGGCUCGCGGCCUAUCAGCUUGUUGUGGGGGUGAUGGCCUACCAAGGCGACGAUCCCUAGCUGGUCUGAGAGGAUGACCAGGCACACUGGAACUGAGACACGGUCCAGACUCCUACGGGAGGCAGCAGUGGGGAAUAGUGCACAAUGGGCGCAAGCCUGAUGCAGCCAUGCCGCGUGUAUGAAGAAGGCCUUCGGGUUGUAAAGUACUUUCAGCGGGGAGGCGUUACCCGCAGAAGAAGCACCGGCUAACUCCGUGCCAGCAGCCGCGGUAAUAC
rnacentral:rRNA from 1 species